CAGCUCAUGUUCCCUGGGCGUCUCAGGGUUGAGGCCGCUCGUGUGGCGUGGCCGGGGGUAUUCAGAGCGGAGCUGGCGACGUGGCUUGUCACGGGCCAAAUCCCAGGAGGCGGGUCAGCCGCCUACCCUGGCUGGAGGGUCUCGUGGCUGCCCUGGGCCUCAUCUAACUGCUGAUCCCCUGGAGAAUUCGCUUUCUCGGACGGUCUGCGAGUUCUUUCUGAGGGGUGUCGGACCCCCCUGCGACUCUGCAGGUGUCGGUGUGGCACUGAGAUCAUCUUGCGGCCCCAUGGCACUGUGAUUUGGUAGCUUGUGAGAAGUAGUUUCACUAAAUCCGUAAAUUUAAGUUAGCAGCUACAGAUUCUUAUGUCUUGACAUUUAUUCGCUUAUCUCUCUUUGCUCCCCACAAAUUGAGUACCAACUAUAUUCCUGGUAUGAGCCAUUCAAGGAAUGUCCAGUCUAGUGGGCAGACAUACAUGAAAGCAAAUCAUUGCUAUUGGAAGUAUGGUUUAUCAAGAUGUACAGCGUGAAGAAUGGAUAGCUUUACUAACGUAGGUUAGAGUUUUAAAGAUAAAUAGGCAUUUUCUACUACAAAAAUAGGGGUGGGAUGGCAAAUCCGGAUCCGAACAGAAAGGAGAUGCAGCACGGGGACAAAUAAUUUGUUGAGAAGAAUGAGUAAUAAUUACAGGUCUUGAAGUUCAAACUUAGGUUGCUGAAGAAGAUGAGGCUGGAGAAGAAAACAGGAGCCAAAUCACGAAUCGUCUAUGCCUUGGAAUUGCUCCAUUCCAAUAAAAAUAUUUUAAAUUUAAUCAUUGACAACAGUUAAGCUGGCCAUAGGCUGAGGAUUGAGGAUGGUGGGUUGCACAAAUAUCUGCUGAAUGGAGAGCUAGAAGGAGGAUGACUUCAAGAAGAGUCAGCAAUAGGAACGCAAUGAAAGACAACCUCAAAUUCAUUAGUCAGCCUGUCUCAGCUGCUUUUUGGUGGCUCACAGCUAUGCUAACCUAGCAUAAAGCAGUGAGAAAUAGAAUACUUCAUUUUGAGCAGAGCUUCAGAAAACCACAAAUAGUAAAAGCCCUAUAAAUAAUAGCUACAGCUGCAAACCAAAGACUAAUUAUUAGUUUUUAACUCUAUAUC
ensembl:lncRNA novel transcript